rnacentral:rRNA from 1 species
AUUGAACGCUGGCGGCAGGCCUAACACAUGCAAGUCGAACGAGUGGCGGACGGGUGAGUAAUGUCUGGGAAACUGCCCGAUGGGGGGGGAUAACUACUGGAAACGGUAGCUAAUACCGCAUACCAUCGGAUGAGCCCAGAUGGGAUUAGCUAGUAGGUGGGGUAACGGCUAACCUAGGCGUCGAUCCCUAGCUGGUCUGAGUGGAUGACCAGCCCAACGGGAACGGGGACACGGUCCGUACUCCUACGGUAGGCAGAAGUGGGAAAUAUUGCACAAUGGGCGCAAGCCUGAUGCAGCCAGGCGGGUUGUAUGAAGAGGGCCUUCGGGUUGUAAAGUACGUUCAGCGGGGAGGCGUUACUCGCAGAAGAAGCACCGGCUAACUCCGUGCCAGCAGCCGCGGUAAUAC